AUUGAACGCUGGCGGCAGGCCUAACACAUGCAAGUCGAGCGGAGCGGCGGACGGGUGAGUAAUGCCUAGGAAUCUGCCUGGUCGUGGUGGAUAACGUCCGGAAACGGGCGCUAAUACCGCAUACUAUCAGAUGAGCCUAGGUCGGAUUAGCUAGUUGGUGGGGUAAAGGCCUACCAAGGCGACGAUCCGUAACUGGUCUGAGGGGAGGAUCAGUCACACGGGAACUGAGACACGGUCAAGACGCCUACGGGAGGAAGCAGGGGGGAAUAUGGGACAAUGGGCGAAAGCCUGAUACAGCCAUGCCGCGUGGGUGAAGAAGGUCUUCGGAUUGUAAAGCAGUUUAAGUUGGGAGGCGUUACCAACAGAAUAAGCACCGGCUAACUUCGUGCCAGCAGCCGCGGUAAUUC
rnacentral:rRNA from 1 species